rnacentral:rRNA from 1 species
CCUACGGGAGGCUGCAGUGGGGAAUAUUGCGCAAUGGGCGAAAGCCUGACGCAGCGACGCCGCGUGAGGGAUGAAGGUCUUCGGAUCGUACACCUCUGUCAGCAGGGAAGAACGGUCACUGUGCUAAUCAGCAGUGAAUUGACGGUACCUGCAAAGGAAGCACCGGCUAACUCCGUGCCAGCAGCCGCGGUAAUACGGAGGGUGUGUGCGUUAAUCGGAAUUACUGGGCGUAAAGCGCUCGUAGGCGGUAGGUCAAGUCAAGGGUGAAAUCCCCGCGCUCAACGUGGGAACUGCCUUUGAAACUGGCAAACUGGAGUGUGUGAGAGGAUAGUGGAAUGCCAGGUGUAGGAGUGAAAUCCGUAGAUAUCUGGAGGAACAUCAGUGGCGAAGGCGACUAUCUGGCACAUAACUGACGCUGAGGAGCGAAAGCGUGGGUAGCAAACAGGAUUAGAUACCCCAGUAGUC